UAGGGAAUCUUCGGCAAUGGACGAAAGUCUGACCGAGCAACGCCGCGUGAGUGAAGAAGGUUUUCGGAUCGUAAAACUCUGUUGUUAGAGAAGAACAAGGACGUUAGUAACUGAACGUCCCCUGACGGUAUCUAACCAGAAAGCCACGGCUAACUACGUGCCAGCAGCCGCGGUAAUACGUAGGUGGCAAGCGUUGUCCGGAUUUAUUGGGCGUAAAGCGAGCGCAGGCGGUUUCUUAAGUCUGAUGUGAAAGCCCCCGGCUCAACCGGGGAGGGUCAUUGGAAACUGAGAGACUUGAGUGCAGAAGAGGAGAGUGGAAUUCCGUGUGUGGCGGUGAAAUGCGUAGAUAUAUGGAGGAACACCAGUGGCGAAGGCGGCUCUCUGGUCUGUAACUGACGCUGGGGCUCGAAAGCGUGGGGAGCAAACAGG
rnacentral:rRNA from 1 species